GAUGAACGCUGGCGGCGUGCUUAACACAUGCAAGUCGAACGAUGAAGCCCAGCUUGCUGGGUGGAUUAGUGGCGAACGGGUGAGUAACACGUGAGUAACCUGCCCUUAACUCUGGGAUAAGCCUGGGAAACUGGGUCUAAUACCGGAUAGGAGCGUCCACCGCAUGGUGGGUGUUGGAAAGAUUUAUCGGUUUUGGAUGGACUCGCGGCCUAUCAGCUUGUUGGUGAGGUAAUGGCUCACCAAGGCGACGACGGGUAGCCGGCCUGAGAGGGUGACCGGCCACCCUGGGACUGAGACACGGCCCAGACUCCUACGGGAGGCAGCAGUGGGGAAUAUUGCACAAUGGGCGCAAGCCUGAUGCAGCGACGCCGCGUGAGGGAUGACGGCCUUCGGGUUGUAAACCUCUUUCAGUAGGGAAGAAGCGAAAGUGACGGUACCUGCAGAAGAAGCACCGGCUAACUACGUG
rnacentral:rRNA from 1 species